UGUAGUAUAUAAUGUAUAUAUCGGUAGAUAACAUAAUGCAAGAAAAGGUAGAAUCUGAGAUAUUCAUCUCCUGGCCACUGCACUGCACUGCUUCACUAUAUUACACAAAUAUAUAUUGUGUUAUUAUUCAGGUCGUGAACUCGAGAUCUAAGGAUUAUCGAUUCCGAUCGAAGAUUCAGAGUAGUGAGAUAAGAACCACUACAGAUCGAAUAUAAUAUAGGAAAUAUGAUUUCUAGAAAUAAAGGAGAGAUAAAAAGCUGAAUUAAAGAUAAUGUUGAAAUAUUUUUUUCUUUGUAUUGGAAAGGAAAAUUGUUUCGAAGGUUGAAGUUUUUUUUUUUUAGAAAAAAAGCUUUACGAAAAAGUGUUUAAAAGUAUUUUCGACUCUUGUUUUAAUUUGAUUAAAUAUCACAGAAGACUGUAAAAAUUGGUAAAUAUUUAUUGAUGCUCGAGUUCAUGAGAAAAUGAUGGCUAAAAUCUUUUGGAGAAUUUAUGGAAGAGUAGAAGCGAUCAAAAUCUUUCAUAUUUUACUUUAAACUCCAAAUAUUGACUCUGAAAGUGAAAUUUCACUUCAUCACUCCUCUCUAUCUACAUAGAAACAAGUUCGAAUGUGACUUUGGUCACACGAUACCACACUUGGGUACAAUCUAUACACAUAAUUGCUGUGUCUGUUUCCCGUGAGGGCUGCCGUGAGAACUGGAUGUUGUUAUAGUCAUAGCACAAUAAUAUAAUGCACUAUAGUAACCUGAUGGUAGUCUCACUAAACAAAGAGGCCAAGGGAAAACGUUGAGGAACAUUUAUUGGGGUAGUUGAGAGUUUCAACCCCGAUACAACUACAGACCUUAAGAUAGCUUAGGGGAAAUUCCAACAAGUGGUUUUGCCAUAGCUUUUGCAUAUUCAACGCUUGGAGAAUCGUGAGGUAUAGCAUGAAUAUAACAACAACUAAGUGUAGAUGCUGGACUAUUCUUGUUAUAUUCGUCAAUUACUAAGACCUACAGGUACCAGACGAAAGCUAUUCAUAGUCUUUCUACAAGAAUUAUGCAUUUAGGGCGAAUAUAGAAAAAUAAUAGCUAAUAGACUCUUUCUGAGCUAACGAAUGUAUACGUCUUUUCAUGGUAAUGGCAAAUGUUUAGGGAUAUUGGUAAUUUCUUGAUGCAAAUAAUUUUUGUUUUACUCACUCAAAUAAUUUCUGUAACUAUAAAAUAUUUUGAAAUAUUAUUAAAAGUCAUUUAAUAAUAUUACUAUUACGAGUUUUUUAUAUGUUGAUUAAUGAUGACUUGGUUCUUAGAGACUAGAAUAAAAACUUUGCUUUGAUAAGGCAGAAAUUUUUAGGAAAAAAUGGUUUCAUUGUCGGGUUCUAGAAACGUUACACAGUUUCCUACUUACAACAGGAGUAAAAUAUUGUUAAAUAGAACUAGAUAGUAAAGAUAAAUGUGUUAUUUAAUAAUCUUGUUGAAUUUAGAUCAUCUAGCUAAACUACUGUAAUGAAAAGUAAAACUAGUUAACCAUCAAAAAUUUAUAUCGAGAAAGAUAGUAUUAUAAAUCAGCUAAUUAUCUUCCAUGAACCACACUCAUUGUCAAAGACUGAUUCUAAGGUAUUCAUGACCAUUUAAACCCAACGACCAACAGUAUAAGUAGUUAUCUUAAUGAUUCUCACCUUUUGAAAAGCUAUUUAGGACCAACUAAAUAGAACAUCAUGCUAUGAUCCUUUUUUCAAUACAGUGUUUUCCAAUUUUUCCAUGUCAAGUCUAAUGCGGGUUGCUGGUGGCAUAGUAUGGUAUUACAGGUUCUUUAUUACUCUGCUGACCAACGCUUGAACCUUAAUGACCUCUCGUUCUCAUACAACUACCAACAAUUGACCGAACAUUUCAAACUUUCCCAAAAUACUGUCGGGAUUUUCCUCUGGUCAUUCAGCUCGUUCUUAAAUUCUCAGGUAAAUAUCAAUGUCACUUUCCUCAACACAAUGACUAGGAAGUAUUGAUCGACGUUAUUUGAAACUCCUAAGAGACACUAGACAAUCGAUUGACAGCAGAACUGCAAGUGAAUUUUUGAAUAGAAGCUAGAGAAUAGGAGCAGGAAGAAUGAUCGAUUUUUUUGAGACAUCAGAAUAUAUUCGUUAUAUCGCUUGGUGCUAUAGGGGUGUAUUGAGUAUAAAGAAGAUACUUCGAUGAAAAAAUAUGGAGACAAAAAAACGUGUCCCAAGUAUAAACUUCACCAUCAAGAGUUAUUGUACGUCCAUAUGGCUAGUACGUGUGACAAUUGAUAACACCAGAUGUAGAUAAAUCAUCAAGUGACGUAAACUUUCUUCUCAGAUACCAUCAAUUUCUCUUGAAUCAUCAUCGUAAUCAGUUCUUAUCUAUCGCAAGUUAAUCUAAUAAAAUAUUUUCAAAACUGAUUACUUGGAUUAUUUAUUUCUGAUGCAAUGUUGUUUAUGGAAGACCAAGAUGUGCCUGGUGGCAAAUGAUUUUACAGUUGAACAAGAGGAUGAGAGCUGUUAGGAGAUUUUGGCUUCAUUAAUGCAGGUGCAGGUACGACGAUUACCAGACUCAGAACUUGACCAAGUGUGUUCCAUAUGUAACACAUUGGCUCUACUAGUCAACUGGUAUAAUAAACAGGUACUGUAAUCCCGAUAAUCUUCAAGGGAGGUCAUUAUUUAUUUAAUACACUAUUAUACCUAUUUUUUAUCAAUAAAAUUAUAUCCAAUUGUUUGUAAAAUGACUUAAAAAUACGAAUACAACAAACUGUGGUAAUAUAAAAUGAAGGUGGCAAGAGGAAAGUAAAGAAGCAAGAAGUGAUUAAAAUAGCAACAAAAUAAAAAGAGGUGUAAGAGGAGGAAGAAAAAAUAUGAGAUCGAUGAAGUGCAUCGGCUAUUAAGAUAUUUGAAUACAUAAUAUGAAGUACAUAGAAGCCUGAGUAGAGGGAUAUACGUCUGUCGGGACCUACGUCGUCGAUAAGCGACACGAGCAGGGGACGCCCCUUAAGGACUUUAUCGCCAUCGGCGCCGAUAAAACGUUAACUGAACAUGGACCCGGCUCUCUUUACUUUUUAAACUCAACCAUCAUCGUUAGUGUUAUACGUCAUAUCCUUCUUUACUUAUUUUUACGCGACCGUCUUCAUCUGACUGGAACUCAACAGUCUUAUCUCAGAUUAUUUAGUGUUUAUAAAUACGUUUGAAUAAACA